AACGAACGCUGGCGGCGUGGCUAAGACAUGCAAGUCGAACGGACUAUCCAAUUGAGUAAUCGAGAGGAUAGUUAGUGGCGAAAGGGUUAGUAACGGGUAGGUAACGUACCCUGUGCUUUGGGAUAGCGUCAUCCCGACUUCGGUCGGGAUUUCCGAAAGGGGCGGUAAUACCAAAUAAUAUCAUUUGUCAUUAGGUGGAUGAUCAAAGAUUUAUCGGCACAGGAGCGGCCUGCCUCCUAUCAGCUUGUUGGUGAGGUAACGGCUCACCAAGGCUGCGAUGGGUAGCGGGACUGAGAGGUUGGCCCGCAACAUCGGGACUGAGACACUGCCCGGACCUCCACGGAGGGCUGCAGUAACGAAUAUUGUGCAAUGGGCGAAAGCCUGACACAGCGACGCCGCGUGUAGGAGGAAGUCCUUCGGGAUGUAAACUACUGUCAGGGGGAAGAAAGUGCGCUUCGGCGCAUUGAUCUAACCCAGAGGAAGUCACGGCUAACUUCGUGCCAGCAGCCGCGGUAAGACGAAGGUGGCAAGCGUUGUUCGGUAUUACUGGGCUUAAAGCGUGUGUAGGCGGAAAAGUAAGCGUUGCGUGAAAUCCCCCGGCUUAACCGGGGAACUGCGCAAUGAACUGCUUUUCUUGAGGCAAGUAGGGGUGCAUGGAACUCUUGGUGGAGCGGUGGAAUGCGUAGAUAUCAAGAGGAACGCCAGUGGAGAAAUCGGUGCACUGGGCUUGUCCUGACGCUGAGACACGAGAGCGUGGGUAGCGAACGGGAUUAGAUACCCCGGUAGUCCACGCCGUAAACGAUGCCUACUAGGUUGUGAAAGUUCUGACACUGGCACAGCCGAAGCAAAAGUGUUAAGUAGGCCGCCUGGGGAGUACGGUCGCAAGGCUA
rnacentral:rRNA from 1 species